GCUAGAGUGGCAGAAAUAUGCGUCAAAUUUAAGCUUUGAAGAUAAGAUCUAAUCUUCUUUGGUG